GUAUAAUGCUGCCUUAACUGUUGAGAAAAGACAGGCUGGAGAAAUCAGCAGGUGAUCAAGGAAACACUUAAAGGUGAUGGGCUGCUGCUUCAAAAAACACUUGCAUAAAUAAAUCUGCAGCACAGAGCAGAAGGGAAAUCAGGCUAGAAAUCUGGCUGACUGCCUGUAGUCCCCAGGCCCAAGGCAGUGCUGCUGUUAAGUGAGAACAGGUGAAAGCAAUUCUUUGUUUUUGCCUUUAUCUCUUCCCUUUGGACAUGCGCUGGGAAGCUGAGGUGUCCAUUCAAUAGGAAACAAGUGAACACUGGCAGGAAAGGCAUUCCUUUCUUCAAGGUGAUCCCAAAUACCAGACUAAAGCUUUACUUCUUCUCCAGCAUCACUGAUGUCAGGGAAUGUCAGAGCUGCAUUCUGCCAAGGAGGGGAGGGGGAAGUAAGACUAUCCCCACUCAGAGAGUAGGGGUGCAGAGCCCUGCCCUGAAGUCCCAUGAAAGUGGAACCACCUGCAAGGGUUAUUAGCUUCACCUCCAGAAAAAGGCUUCUUAAAAAAUGAGAAGAUAGAAGAAGGGUUUUCAAGACUUGACUGGAUGAAACCCCAAGGAACCUGGUGAGAUGUCAUGUCUAACCCUACUCUGAGCAGGAUGUUGUAAUGAAGACGCUGUGAGGUCCCACCCAUCCCUACUGGCUCUAUUAUUCUGUGGCUUUCUGAGAGAUGGAUUUGGCCUUUAGAAUGACGAUUGAACAUGUGCUAGUGCCUCUCUUUCUCCACAAAUAUGUACAUAUGUGUGCUUACAUCCAGCUAUACUCUCAAAACCUUUUGCCAAUUUGAGUUGUUAUUAAUUAUUGUGAUCUAAAAAUAAAACCUUUUUUCCCCAAGAUUGAAAGAUCUUCAGGCACUACUAAGCAAUUCACUGUGUGUUGCAGCAUAUAAGUAAUGACUGAAGAGUGUGAAACUCCAAGCAGACCUCUGCAUCAAGAUGAAUAGAUGAGCAGAGUACAUUCGCUGAAGUGCUUUCUGUAUCGGUGAACACAACAGUGUGUUUGAAAUAUAUCAAAAGGAACUGUUGUGUAUUUCACACUUCUCAACAGUGAGGGCAAAAUGUAUUGUAUGCAGUACCUUGCAUGUAAGAGUUACAAGAAAAAUAACGGAACAUAAUGCUCCUCUGAAUAUUAAAACAAGGUUCAGAAAAUGCAGCUAUACUUUUGGCAGCUGGCUGAUAUGUCAGCAGCAAUCAAACUGGGGAGAGGAGGCUGAAAUUAGCUCCUUUCUCUGCUAAUAUAUUGUCUAUAAUAAGGUCCCAGAUUUUUCCCAUUUGUUUGUUAUUUAGCAGUUCAUCUGAACAAAUAUCUGUGCUAAUAGAGCAUUCAUAAAUGAUUACAACCCUUUGAGCAUUUGCUGCUUGAAAUUUGCUUGCUGCCUGGGCUACUUGGUCACCUAUGAACACGUCUAUAUUACAUAACAUUGUGCCAUGGGGGAGAUAGCCAAGAUAGCUCAAGAAGAAGGAUGGUAUGUCUGCAUGGCACAGUGCCACACUGCGUACUCACCUAGGUCCCAGAGGCUGUAUAAAUAAGUUAGCUCCAUUCAGUUGGCACAGCUCUAUGCUGACCUAGCUGUCCUAAUCUGAGGACUAAAACUGGCUUGUUUAGAGGUAGGUCAGUGUGGAUAGAAUUUCUCUCCCUCAUUCGUCUGACCUCAACAAUGAUGUCGCAGUUUAUUCCCCCAGUUUUUUUUCUCAUUCAUCCUCUUUUUUUUUUUUUUUUUUUUUUGUUUCAUAAUGAAACAACAAGGAUGUUUAAAGUUACUUUCCAUACAUACUUGUGUAAGAAAUUAUUUGUUGAGUUGGCUUGCUAUAAAAGUGAACAAAAAGAGUGUAAAAAUGGAUAAUUAAUACUAUUAAGAUUUCACAAUCAUUGUGCAAAAUAUGAUUUCCCUCUGUUCACUCAAUACUCUUGCUUUUGGCAAAGCAAGCUGCUACCUUUCAUUAAUAAAAAUAUAUGCCACUAAAAAUAGAAGAUAAUUACACAGGUUAAUGAGUAAAGAUUGGACACUACAUGAUACACAUCUGAAUUUCUUGCAUUUUCCUUUCUAGGUUGAGAACCUUUGGUAAUCUAAUCACUGAAACUACCUGGAAUCAUUAUUAUUAUUAUUAUUAUUAUUAUUAUUAUUAUUAUUAUUAUUAUUAUUAUUUAAUUACAUAACUGAUACUGAACAAGAAAAGCAGAGUGAAUUGUUUGUAUGCUCUGUAAAGCAUCCUGCUAUCAGACUGUUCUGAUGUCUUACUGCUCCUGGUUUAAAUUAUUUACAUGCCUUUCCAAUUAUUUUCAUAGUUUAUGAGAAGGCAUAGGACUAUAUGAGAACAGUGAAAGAAUGUGUCAAUGUAUACUUCAUGUAACAUUAUGCUAAUUUGCUCAUUGGUACAGCAAAACCCAUCUUGGUGGGUUUGAACCAUUUUGUAUAGUGUGGCCUUUUUCAAUGUCAGAAGGAUAAUCAUGUGAGAUAGGAAGAGCUCAGGCUCUGUGUUCUCAUUACCGAUGAUCAGGGUGUGUGAAGAUCUCAUAAAAACAUCAGGAGCCUUCUUUGUACCCUCCAGUUCUGCUGUUUCUUUAAAGACCAUUUGCAAAAGAAGAAGAACCUGACAUAACCACGUCAAUGAAAAAAUAGUGAAAGUGAAGUGAAAAAAAUAAUCUCAAAAUCUAUUUCUCUUGCCAUAACUUGUGAUUUUUGGCACAGAAAACAAUAAGCAUGAGGAAAAAAAAAAGUAAGAUUGCAAGCUGAAGACAAGUCAAUAAGAGGAAGAUUGCAUAAGAUUUAAAUCAGACAAGAAACAUUUCACAGCAGAAACUUAGGAAGAAAAUUCCUUCACAUCCUCCCAAGGAAACCCAACACGGAAGCAUGCUUAAUGGUGCACAGCACAACUGCCUUUUGCUGCAGGCUAGGAAUAAGUAAUUCAAAUGAAUGAGAGAAAUUUGUAUCUUAGAAGGGAAGGAUAUUUGUAUCCUCCCUGCAAUGUGAUGUUGUAAAAGUUCACAGAAGGGCUGUUACCAGAUGGACUAACAAGCAGAGUAAGGGGGUUGUUAAGAAAUGGAAACCUAAUGAGAACAUUCACAAACCAAGAAACUGCAAUGGUAAAAAUGAAGAACAAAGCCAUAAAUGUUCCAACCCUGCUUCAAUCCAUGAAUAACAGCAUGUAUGUAAUUAAGCUGGGGGUUUCACGAACAAUUUGACAUGCUGGAAGUGUUGCUAUUGCUUUGCCUGCCAGAUACACGGACCAUAUAGUAAUGAGUAACAACACACAAGCCAGUGUAUGUUUUAGCUGGUAUGAGCCAAUGUCCAUGUAGCUGAAUUAGGGCAACGCUCAAUGAACCAAUGAGCCCUGCAGAAGAGCAGGUAUAAAGCUUAGCUAGCCCAGAGCAUGAGCUGGAUGAGCUCCCACCUACUGCAGUGUGGGGAGAGGGUCAGUCUGUACUUCAGAGCUCUGGUUGAAUGUUCCCUAAGACAAACAGAGUGAGUGUUUAAAGGGGAAAAAAAAAAAAAAAAAAAA